rnacentral:snRNA from 1 species
GUGCCUUCUAAACCGUGACGGAGGGAGUAUCUGUUCUUAUCAAUUUAAUAUCUGAUACGUGGAUCUACGGAUCCACACUAUGAUGUUAAUUUAAUUUUGUGAGGAGAGGGUCCGCUGCUUGGGCCCUCGAGCGUCGUCAGGGUCAGGGUUGCACUAUAGCCUUGAAAGUUGACGCACCUCAA